AUGGAAUUACACAAUUUAAAAAUUAAUGCUUUUAUAAAACAAAGACAAAAAAAAAAAAUGCAAUUUGCAAUUGAAAUUAUUUGCAGUCUGCACCCAUGUCUUCAGAAAGUUCUUCACUUAACCUCUCUCUCCCUCUCUCUCUCUCUCUUUUUUUUUUUUAAGGUAAGGGAAAACUUAUCUUAUUUCUGUAUUAUUCUUAUUUCUGUAACCGCCGGUGUAAAAGUCAGUGGAGUUUUAACCUCACAGAGAGCAGGACUGGGAUCUGCUACUUCUAUUUCUGAAGCUCUACUCAAAUUUCUGAAAAACAAACAGUGUAGAAAUGUCUGUGCUAUUUUCUUUCUCAUAGGUGCUGAAUGGAGCUUGUGAAAUCAGCAAAACAAAUUACUUUAACGAUACUACUUACAUGAGUAAUGCAGAUGAGCUUCUUCCCCGGAGUCAUUUGUAUCUAUUUAAGACAGGACGUGAUCAAUCAACGUAGCAACCGCGGCACAGUAUAUCCAAUACACUGAAAAUCUAAGCAACUAUCAAGCAAGUACAUGCUGUAAAGUGUCUGUUAAAUACCGAUUAGCGCUGUGAAGCUGGAGAUCCAGAAGCUGCUACAGCAGCUUGUCAGAGGCAGCUGCAGACCCUUGCAGUGCCUAUAUACCAUUUUUUCCCCCCCUAAAUACUGCAGUCAAAACAGUUUGAUGUCAAAUCAUUUGUCAUCUAUCUUUAUGCUUCUGCUGAACGAAGGCUAAAGCAGAGGGUAUUGGCAUACAGAAGCAUUUUAUAACUAUGGAAUCAGUAAUUGUUUAAUCGUGUGAAAGCAAAAGCAAAGAGUGGACUGGGAGCUGUGAGCAUGGGGCAUUUGGUGUGUCUGUGAGAUGGGUCCUGGUGGGAAAAAAAGGCCAUCUUCUGCUCAUUAAAGUAUUACCCAUUUCAAUGCAGAAUUAAUCUCCCUCUUACUUUUGUCGAAAGGAUUUAUGUGUUUGUACUGUCCAUGAACCGAUAAGACACAGCCACACACAGCUUGCCUGCUAAGCAAAGCAGGAAACAACAACAACAAAAACCCCGAAAAAAGAUAUUUUCCUGUCAUAACCUUUCCUUCCUUCUUUCUUUCUUUCUUUCUUUCCUUCCUUCCUUCCUUCAUUCCUUCCUUCCUUCCUUCUUUCUUUCCUUCCUUCCUUCCUUCCUUCCUGCCUUCCUGCCUUCCUUCCUGCCUUCCUUUUCAUCCUUCUUUUCCUUCCUUUCCUUCCUUAGUUAUGGAUAGCUUUUCACACACCUGUAUGCGUGCAACAACCAAAGUGCCCAGGAACAGCAGGAACAUCGCAUAUUCUGCAAUUGUUCCUCACAAGGCAUACAGACAAAGAGAAAAAAAAGAUGUUAACCUCCCCCAACAAACAUAGCUGAAAACUUUUCUUCGGGGGAAAAGGGAAAAAAAGCUUGUUGCAUUCCCCCCCCCCCA
ensembl:lncRNA